rnacentral:rRNA from 1 species
UACAGAGGGUGCGAGCGUUAAUCGGAAUUACUGGGCGUAAAGCGUGCGUAGACGGUUAUUUAAGUCGGAUGUGAAAGCCCCGGGCUCAACCUGGGAAUUGCAUUCGAGACUGAAUAGCUAGGGUGCGGUAGAGGGAAGCGGAAUUUCCGGUGUAGCGGUGAAAUGCGUAGAUAUCGGAAGGAACACCAGUGGCGAAAGCGGCUUCCUGGUCCAGCACCGACGUUCAGGCACGAAAGCGUGGGGAGCAAACAGG